CGUGCGUGCGCGGGGACCCUCCCUCGCCUCGCUGGCUGGUCGGUGACCUGAUCCUCUUUGGUGGAUCUCGUGGUGGUUUUAUUUUCUCAGCAACAUCUCCGCCCCCUUCUGCUGUAGCUGAAUCUUGUGAGUAAGAUUCCUAGGGCCCCAGUCCCAUGUCAAGGUUUGUGCAAGGCCCAGUCAGCUUGAAGUUUGGAACCGGGACCUCUGUCGGAAGGAAUGGGACGUGGCCGGACAGCGGUUUGGCCUCGUUCCCCUCCACCUUUGGACAGCUUGGGGAGGUGCUGAGGGUUAAUGUGAAAUGGGACAGCAUAGAAGACUGAAGAUGGGAAAGAAGUCAUAAGAAGCUUCCCUGAGGACCUUUGAGGGGAAGAGCGUCUCACAUUAAGAGAGGCCUAGACCUGACCGUGAGUCAUCGGGUGGUGCCUGCAGAGCCAUGGACAAAUAUGAGGUGGUGGGGCAGCUCUGAUGUCUCACACUGUGGGUCACUCAGGAUGCAGACUCAGGAAUAGGAGAAGCAGGCUUACUUAUGCACUCUGUAGUGUUCUCUAAGUCAAACCACGUGAGGAGGUAUCAGCAACCAAGUGAGGUUAGCAGAAAGCUGUCAGCUCUAGCUAACAGAGCAACAUGAUAAGACCUGAAACUGACGUGAUAUCUAAAAUCAUGAAGCCAG
rnacentral:lncRNA from 1 species